GCCCAGUGGUAAAUCUCCUAGGU
rnacentral:snRNA from 1 species